UUUGAUCAUGGCUCAGAUUGAACGCUGGCGGAUGCUUGCACAUGCAAGUCGAACGGCAGCACGGACUUCGGUCUGGUAUGAGUAGAACGGGUGAGUACGUAUCGGAACGUGCCUAGUAGCGGGGAUAACUACGCGAAAGCGUAGCUAAUACUGCAUACCACCGGGGGAAAGCGGGGACCUUCGGGCCUGCACUAUUAGAGCGGCCGAUAUCGGAUUAGCUAGCUGGUGGGUAACGGCUCACCAAGGCGACGAUCCGUAGCUGGUUUGAGAGGACGACCAGCCACACUGGGACCGAGACACGGCCCAGACUCCCACGUGUGAGUGGUGGUAAUUUAGACAGCUGGGAACCCCGAUCCCAGCCAUCCCCGCGUGUGCGAUGAAGGCCUUCGGUUGUAAAGCACUUGGCGAAGAAACGGCACGGGAUAAUACCCCGUGCAACUGACGGUACCUGCAGAAUAAGCACCGCUAACUACGUGUCAGCAGCCGCGUAAUACGUAGGCGCGCGUUAAUCAAUUACUGGCGUGAAGUGCGCAGGCGGGUUCGGGAAAGAAAGAUGUAAUCCCAGAGCUAACUUUGAACCGCAUUUUUUAACUACCGAGCUAGAGUGUCAGGAGGGAGGUGGAAUUCCAAGCGUGUAGCAGUGAAAUGCGUAGAUAUGCGGAGGAACACCGAUGGCGAAGGCAGCUUCCUGAUAACAUCAAUUAUGCACGAAAGCGUGGGGAGCAAACAGGAUUAGAUACCCUGGUAGUCCACGCCCUGAACGAUGUCAACUAGCUGCUGGGGCCUUCGGGCCUUGGUAGCGCAGCUAACGCGUGAAGUUGACCGCCUGGGGAGUACGGUCGCAAGAUUGAAAACCCAAAGGAAUUGACGGGGACCUUGCCAAGCGGUGCGGAUGAUGUGGAUUAAUUCGAUAACGCGAAAAAACUUAUCACCCUGACAUGUCUGGCAAUCCUGAAGAAGAGAUUUGAGGUUUGCGAGAAACUGAAUAAUGGUAAAGCAGCGGCUGUCGUCAGCUCGUCGCGAGAUGUUAAGCCGGAGUCCCGCAACGAGCGCAACCCUUGUCAUUAGUUGCUACGAAAGGGCACUCUAAUGAGACUGCCGGUGACAAACCGGAGGAAGGUGGGGAUGACGUCAAGUCCCUCGGCGGUCUCAGGCGGGUAGGGCUUCACACGUCAUACAAUGGUCGGGACAGAGGGUCGCCAACCCGCGAGGGGGAGCCAACUUGCGAAACCUGAUCGAACCGGGAUCGUGUCUGCAACUCGACUGCGUGAAGUCGGAAUCGCUAGUAAUCGCGGAUCAGCAUGUCGCGGUGAAUACGUUCCCCGGGUCUUGUACACACUGCCCGUCACACCAUGGGAGUGGGUUUUACCAGAAGUAGUUAGCCUAACCGUAAGGAGGGCGAUUACCACGGUAGGAUUCAUGACUGGGGUGGUGUCGUAACAAGGUAA
rnacentral:rRNA from 1 species